AUAAUUUCUCCCAAAGACAGGACAAUGAGAAUAACCUCUCAAUUGUGUCAUUUUGUUGUAUUUUCAUCAGGAGAAUCAAUUGAUGGUCAACAUGGGGAUUAGUCCGAGGCGGAGUGCUCCGUCGACCUCAAGCUCGGCGGGCUAGGCGAGAUCGGGGCGGCGGACGGCACAACCACGAAGGAGCCGGUGGCUGCAACCGCAGCUCCGUCCGCCACCCCGAUGAAGCGCCCGCGCUUGCGGCCCGGCGGCGCCGGCGGGGCGCAGUGCCCGUCGUGCGCGGUGGACGGCUGCAAGGCCGACCUGAGCAAGUGCCGCGACUACCACCGCCGCCACAAGGUCUGUGAGACGCACUCCAAGACGCCCAUCGUUGUCGUCACCGGCCGCGAGAUGCGCUUCUGCCAGCAGUGCAGCAGGUAUUCCUUCCAGCCCCAAACAAUCCCAUCCCUCCUCUCAAUUCGCUUCACUUGGGAACGUCGUUGUAAUUAUUGCAUGAACCGGGUAGCGUCGAGAGGGGUCGAUUGCUUGAAUUGAUGCCAUGGAAAUUGGUAGUGCUACGAAUCAACAAACCGACGUCAGUCAUUUUGUUUCUUUUUUCCCACAGCUUUUCCUUUUUACUGCUGAUUAUUCCUUGCCUUUCCCUUUGCUCAAAGUAAAAAUGCCAAACCAGUUCUUUCUUUGGCCCUGCCUCUCUCCUUCUUUGCUUCAGAAUUCAGAUGCACACUGCCAAUCUCCACAACGCAAUGCAGCCACAGCGAACAGGCUAGCGAUAGGAAAACAGAAUAGUAUUGUUUUAACGCAAGAACAUGACAGCAUUUCAUUCACAAUAAUGUACCAGCUGG
rnacentral:misc_RNA from 1 species